rnacentral:rRNA from 1 species
AGUUUGAUCCUGGCUCAGGACGAACGCUGGCGGCGUGCCUAAUACAUGCAAGUCGAGCGAAUGGAUGGGAGCUUGCUCCCUGAAGUUAGCGGCGGACGGGUGAGUAACACGUGGGCAACCUGCCUGUAAGACUGGGAUAACUUCGGGAAACCGGAGCUAAUACCGGAUAAUUUCUUUCUUCACAUGGAGAGAGGUUGAAAGACGGCUUCGGCUGUCACUUACAGAUGGGCCCGCGGCGCAUUAGCUAGUUGGUGAGGUAACGGCUCACCAAGGCGACGAUGCGUAGCCGACCUGAGAGGGUGAUCGGCCACACUGGGACUGAGACACGGCCCAGACUCCUACGGGAGGCAGCAGUAGGGAAUCUUCCGCAAUGGACGAAAGUCUGACGGAGCAACGCCGCGUGAGUGAUGAAGGUUUUCGGAUCGUAAAGCUCUGUUGUUAGGGAAGAACAAGUACCGUUCGAAUAGGGCGGUACCUUGACGGUACCUAACCAGAAAGCCACGGCUAACUACGUGCCAGCAGCCGCGGUAAUA